GCUCACGGAUGGGUUCAGUGGUAGAAUGCUCGCCUGCCACGCGGGCGGCCCGGGUUCGAUUCCCGGCCGAUGCA